CAUAAGUGCCAGUGAGGGGGAAAAUAUCUUAGGGAAGCAGCUAAAGAGAGGAGAAUUUGAUUUAACAUUCUGAGAAUUCCUCCCAGUAUCUACAACCAAAAUCUGACACCAUCUGUUGGCUGGAAUAUUACAAUCAUUUGAUAAUUGUCUUCUCCUCAUCCGUUUGUUGUCCUUCUACUACCUGUUUCUCAAGCUGUGAUCAAAGGUCCUUUCCAGCAUUCUAUGAAGGACGACACACAGAGAUAGUUGCACACUAUGGGAGAAGUCCUGAGAGGAAAAGUUCAUGGUUCAAUAUGCAACCCAAAGUGAGAUGUGUCCCAAGCAGUCAAACAAACAGCCUGACUCCGAUCUAAGGCACAGGGGCGAAAAGUGAGCUCGAUU